GGUCAUAUAGUGUAGUGGUCAUCACUCCGGAUUCUGACAAAUGCACUGGAAAUUCCGGCAACCCAGGUUCGAGUCCUGGUAUGACCU